rnacentral:rRNA from 1 species
AUGAGGUGGGCGUCAUCUGGUUUUAAAGGAGAGGGCUCCAGCGAGAAAUAUCCUGUUAUGGCGGGAAACCGAGCGGGUUCGAUGAGAAAAGGGAAGGGUGCGUGGCCAAUUUCUUCUGCCCAUGACAUCUCGGUGGCCAAUUUCCAUUGCCCCUUGCUCGGUGGCGCUUUUGGUGAUUGCGUCUUCACCUCUCUUCAGUUGGUCUUCCUGUUGGUAUCACACGGAACCCCAAAGCCCUCGUCCUCCUUCCUUCGUCCCUCUCUUCGGCGAUUGAUCAUCGGCGACCAGAAUGUCGGACCAAAGGUUGGAAGCCGAGUCGGUCCUCGCCGGAGGCUCGUGAGAUUGGUGGUACGAGCGUUUUACGACGACUUAGGAUUCCAGGGCGAGGAACUGAUCACUGGUUGCGCAGGGGAGGCCGGCCUAGCCGUUGUCCUUCUCGACGCCCUCACUCGGUGUCGAUGCCAGUGGGUUGAGGAAGAGGAGUUGGCAAAGGUGCUUAAGCUUAACAAGAGGAAAUGCUUGCAGAUCCUGCAUUAUUUUGAAGCUGAGAGAUUCCUGAAAAGAAAGAUACCAAAGACAUCCAUAGGUGAUCCUGGUACACCAUCUGGCGCAUCGUCAACUGGACAUCUAUGGGGAAAUUCCAGGGUGGUCCAUGGACCACCCUGGCCACCCCCUAGCUACGCCACUGCUGUUUGGAUUACCCCCAGAUAUUCAGUAUUUGAUGCAAUGCAGCUGGGGUCUUUUGAGUGUGAGAGCUGUUCCAGAGAGUUAGUGAGGGAAGGUGACGAGGAAUCAAAUGAUGCAUCACGCGAUGGAAGAAAGAGAAGGAAAACUAAUUUGUCAAACAAACUCCAAAGAAUUCAGGAGCAGCUGGAACCCUUGGCAUCUCUACUUGAUAUGAUCGAGAAGUUGCCUGCGUUGGAAUUUUUGUAUCUUUAUGAUGAUGAUUUGCCAAGGAGCAGUGGACAUGAUGCAGUCAGGGUCCUUGGGGAGAAGAUGGUUGAAGCAUCACCAGCUUUGAAUAGAAUGCCAGAUCCUGAAAAACAUAUUAAUCUUACCGAGUCAAAGAUCUUGCCUGACUGGAUGAUAAGAGAGGGUAUGUUACAAAAGAAUACUCAUACUGGUGAUGACUCAGCGCUCAACGAAAGUACCCAGGACGCAUAUGCUAAGGCAUAUAGACAGGCACUUUACGAGGCUUAUUCAAGAGACACCCCAGCAGCAGUGAGAAGAAAGAGGCUUCUUGUUUACUCAACAUGGUUUCCUGAUUUAGAUUUUGGGGUUUCUGGAUGGACUGAUCCCUUGGGAGCCCCACACCCUUAUACUAUAUGCCGACUGAGCCUAGUUGGCCCACCGCAGGCCGAUUGGCCUCCAGUCGGCCCGCAGCAAGCCGACUGGGACUAA